AUUUAAGAAGACAGUGACAACCAGGCAAGCUAGUCCGAGCACCUGAACCAACAUUUUACGAUAAAAGUCUCUAAAAUAGCAAAGGACAAUCCUGUAGCGUGUGGCAGAAGAAGCUGCAGACGAUGGGGCAUCUGUUUCCCUUGUGAGGCCAUUGACCUGCUGGAAGCUGGAGGACCAGGGGCAGCGUGAAGCCGAUCUCAGCGUCGAGGCCUUCCACAGCGGGCACAGGAUCGGGGACUGCAGGAGGGAGGGCCCAAGGACACGGUCACUGGAGUGCAGUGCCACACUGCUUCUGGUUACAGUGGCAGUUAACAGAUGAGAGAAAACAUCAUGUCUGACCUCUCCAGAGUUAGGCAGUGGGGUGCAUGAGGAUACAGUGAGUACUAAAGCCGAAACUAUUUCAACUUUCUGUGCCUACUGCUAGCACAUCCAAUCAUGUGACAGUGAGAGGUGUCAAAUUUCUCUAAAGAUAGUAAGAAAAGUGCUUUUUGAGAAAUAUCUACAAGGUGUAUAGCUGUAUGUUGUCACUGCCUUAUCAAAUGUUUACUCUGUACAAAAGCAUGCAGUGCUUGAGGCUAACAUAUCCGUUUGCGCUUGUUUUUUACCUGAUGACUGAGGCAUUGGUUUUAAAAAAUGUGCAUACAAGCACUCUCCAUUUUCAUUUUACAAAUGGCUGACACCUUAACUACAGUGUGAGACAACAGCAUGGCAGCCAUCUACCAAAAACCAGCAGUGUGCACCAUUGAAUUACAAGCUACAGGCAAGUACAAGUCCAUGAACUUAUGUUCAAUAAUACUUAUUUCGUAAGAAUCUGUCAUUUUGAAAUGUGGAAUUUGCCUUUGACAAGAAAUGUCGGCAAUAUUCUGGAGUCGGACCACCACAUCACACUUCACAUACAGCCUGGACACUGUGCUAUAAAUACUUCACAUUCAUGCAAAAUGAAUGGUUGGGAAUUGUAUUUACAGGCUAAGUGUGCUAAUUUGCUGAUGAACAGAGGUGGUGGUGGUUCACAACCUGCUUACUGAACCCACUAACCCACUGAAAGAUCACAAUGGAAGUGUCUAAUGCAAAAAAAAAAAAAAAAAAAAAAAAGA